rnacentral:rRNA from 1 species
CGGAGAGUGCGAACGUUGUUCGGAUUCACUGGGCGUAAAGGGCACGUAGGCGGCUCGGCAAAUCGGUCGUGGAAUCCCGACGCUUACCGUCGGAACGGCGGCCGAAAAUACCGGGCUCGAGGGCGUGAGGGGUCACUGGAACUCCUGGUGAAGCGGUGAAAUGCGUAGAUAUCAGGAGGAACGCCGGAGGCGAAAGCGAGUGACUGGCGCGUUCCUGACGCUGAGGUGCGAAAGCUAGGGGAGCAAACAGGAUUAGAUACCCUGGUAGUCCUAGCCGUAAACGAUGGACACUGAGUGGGGGAGGCUUGCCUUUCCCUGCUGCAGCUAACGCGUUAAGUGUCCCGCCUGGGGAGUACGGCCGCAAGGUUA